rnacentral:lncRNA from 1 species
UGCUGGCCGCCAUUGCUGCUCACCAGAGAUCCCGCGGAUGGCUUCAUGCCGGUGGACUCGGUAACGAACCGCGAAUAUCACGCCGGGGCCGCGCCAUCCCGGAAGUAUUUAACCCUCUCGCAGCUACCUCUCCCCUGUUUCCUAUCUUCCGCGCUCGCACCGCCCUGCAAUGUGCCGCCACCGUGGAACUCGCCUGCGCCACCACUUCGGGACUCACCAAGCAGUCGAGGUGUGUUGCUAGGUCACCUCGCAUCGGUCCGGGGCUCUUUCUGGCGAGGAUUGCAUCCGGACUGGGGGGAAUUCCUCGCCGCACUUGCUGCCCCGUCGUAGAACCUGCUCGCGCUGUAGCCCGACUCCUCUGCGACGUCAUUGCCGGUAAGAUGCCCUUGGCCAUGUUCGCCGUCAUUACUGCCUUGCGUAGCAUUCAUCGAAUCGGUGUUUGGGCGCGUGGUUCGGAGUUUGGGUGACGCCGGCCAUGGCGCUGCCACGGGCGCUCUGGCGCCGCCGCGCGCGUAGUGUUAGGGAAGAGUCGUGCGCGCCGGAGUUCUGUGGGUCGUUGAUCCAUAGAUGGGCGGUGGUGAUUAGGCGUGAGAAUACCCGUUGGGGGGAGUAGAUCGUGGCCAUUCAUCCGUCAAUCGGCGAUCAGAGUCGGGUCUUGGCCUCAUUAAAUCCGAUGCGUUGGAUCGAGAAUGGACGGUUCGGGAUCCACGCCGAUUCUAAUAUAGCAAGAUGUAAUCCUGGUCGUUCCGAUGAGAUCUGACGGCUCUAGUAGGUAGAUACCCCUUCACGUGACAAUAUCUCAAAAGAAUCCCUCUGUUUACCAAGAAUCAACCCGCAGUCCACGUAGCUGGUCUCUGUGUCUUAUUUAUUUUUGCGCCAGGGCCCCUGCAAUUCAUGAAUGUUGGUGCGCAGUCCAGAGAUCCGAGGAAAUUAGGGGGUGUUUGGUUUCUAGGGACUAAUGUUUAGUCCCUUCAUUUUAUUCCUUUUUAGUGUAUAAAUUACUAAAUAUAGAAACUAAAAUAAAUUUUUAGUUUCUAUAUUUGGCAAUUUUAGAACUAAAAUGGAAUAAAAUCUAGGGACUAAACAUUAGUCCCUAGAAACCAAACACCCCAUUAGUUAAUUAAUUAUAGAAUGAAUUUUUAAUAUAAAAACAAUUCCUAUAACUUGUUUAAUUCAUAGAAAAUUCAUAUGGAGUCCAAAUUAAUUCAUUCUAGUUCAUAUAAUUUUGUAAUAUUAUUGUUUAUUAUUUAGUGCCACUGUUUUCACAUGAAAGUCACAUUAAAAUUUAUAUCCUAUUUAAUCUUGUACAAAACACAUAAAAUCAUUAGAAAUUCAUAACUUAAGAUCUAUGAUUCUGAUUUGAUCCGUUCAAGUUGUGUUAGUCUCGUACGAAUAUUUACUAUUCAGUAACAACAUUUAAUAUAUCAUGUCUCAUUCUUUCCUAAUUAGAUUUUUAUUUAAUUUAUGUUGGUUAGACUUGUUAAUUUGCUUAAUAAUCUACUAAGAUAUGAUUUAUGGUCAAUUCAUAAUUUAGAUUAAAGUUGAAUAAAUUACUACUUUAAGUUAUCUUUUCUUUGGAAUUAUAAACAUAGAACCUGGUGUUAAUCAUUUAAUCACACCAUAACUUGAUGACCAUGACUCCGAUCUUGGUGGUUCUCGUUCCCACGAUCUCGUAGCUUCGCGUAGAUCAUUAUUAUACAAUUAGUUCUUAUGUUUAGUGUGAUGUUAAUUUUGUCUAUACCAUGUUUGUUUGUAUUGCUACGACUAGCAUGUGGACACGAGGAUCUGAAGAAUCACCCUGGUACCUGGAAUCUCAAGUGCCAGGUGUUGGAGACUUGUUCUCAACUGCUUCGAAUUAAGAACAAGACAACACAAAAAAGAGGUUAAUGGUUAAAUGUCCUUCGUCCUUCGAAACAUUAUUUCCCUUAGGAUAUAACGAUCUUCGGAUGAAGGUCAUGAAGGACGUACCUUCAUCAUCUCAGUAUGUGUUAAUGAAAGACGAAGUAUAUAAAACAUGAGAAAUAACAUGGAUAAUCAUAUGAUAUUAUUAACAUAUCUUCAUUAUAUCAUCAUGCAUAAAUAAGAACAAUAUUGAAUUACAUUCGUACCUUCGGCUUAACAGAAGGUAAAAAAUCCAAACGUGACACACGAGCGAAUACAAGUCAGCGUCCUUCAUCAUCUCAGUAUGUGUUAAUGAAAGACGAAGUAUAUAAAACAUGAGAAAUAACAUGGAUAAUCAUAUGAUAUUAUUAACAUAUCUUCAUUAUAUCAUCAUGCAUAAAUAAGAACAAUAUUGAAUUACAUUCGUACCUUCGGCUUAACAGAAGGUAAAAAAUCCAAACGUGACACACGAGCGAAUACAAGUCAGCGUGAACAGUACAGAGAUAUUGUUCACCUAUUUAUAGGCAUGGGACGCAGCCCAAUCAAAAUUACAUUUAUAUCCUUGAUAACUAGUUACAAUCAUGGCACAAAUUACCAUGGGUCGAUUGGUCUUUUCCUCUUUAAGUCGGUGCAACCCUUCGUAUCAAGGCAUGUCGCUAUGCCGAAGCUCCCUGGAAGGUACCUUCGGCAUGUACCUUCGUGCUAUGUUUGCUUCUAUGCUGAUCUUCCGAAGGUGUUUCUUCUUAAAG